rnacentral:tRNA from 1 species
AGCGGGGUGGAGGAACAGUACCUCGUCAGGCUCAUAAUCUGAAGGUCUCGGUGCAAAUCCGAGCCCCGCAACCA